rnacentral:tRNA from 1 species
GGAGAGUUGUCCGAGUGGUCGAAGGUGCAGCACUCGAAAUGCUGUGUACGUCAGUACCUAGGGUUCAAAUCCCUAACUCUCCGCCA